GGGAAAAGUUCUCUCACAGUGAUGGCUGCAGCUGGCCGUCACCUUGACGACAAAGGCGAGGGCCUUAGGAGAAAAGGAUGUCAAUUUUUCUUUAACAUUUGUAUUUCUCAUUAUAAAAGGGAACAUGUGCUCACAGAAGAAUAUAGAAAAAUCCAAAAAUAAAUUAAAAUUCUUGUAAUACUACCACCCAGAGGUAACUAGUUUACAUUUUGGCUUAGUUUCUUCUACUCUUCUGUGUGUUCUUAGUACCUUAAGAGUUGACAUGGAUAGGCCCCUUGCUUUUACUUUCACCUUGUCAUGUCAUUAAAAGUUCUCCCCGCCGUUACUUCAUGUAACUGUUUCCUGAAGAGGGGAAUUGUUUCCUGCUCUGUAAAGGUUUAUGAGUAGCAUGCAGUGCACGUGGGUUACAGUAUUGCAGCAACACACAGAGGGUUUGCUCCUCUCUCCUUAGGAUAAAUUCCUAGAACGAAAAUACUGGCUGAAGAUGUUUUCUGGGCCCUCUGGAUACGUGGCCAAUGGUCCUCCGGGAGAGGUUGUGGGUUCCUCUCCUUGCCCGCCAGCUUGGAGAACUUGGCCGUUUCAGCGUGGCCCUCGGCCGGUCCAGAAGGACGUGAUGAAUAAGAGGUUAUGAAUUUUCAUAGAGCUGAAAGAUGUGCUUCUGUGUCAGAGGAGGGAAGAAGACAAGGAACGAGACCUUCCUGAGACAGACUCUGAUUGCGUGGUGGCCCAGGCUUCCUGUUCAGAGGGCAUGCGGAGUGAACUAGGUUGAACCCCACUUGUGGGGCUGAAAAUGUAUUCCCACGGUGGUCUGGAAAUUCCCCUGGCCGCAGGGUCCUGACCUGGGGCAUCUUCGAGCCUCCAGCACCCCACAUGGCUCCUCCAGGGGCAGGGCCUCUGCAAUAUGAGAUCAACAGGAGGAAUUUAGUCUCACCCUUUGCUGCCAUUUAACUCCAAAUUAACUUUUAUUUGUUUAUUUUUUGUACAUUUGGCUCAUCUGACACUGGCAUUAAAGGAAGGAAAAGAACCAGGUGAUAAAUCAAAACCUGAAUGUUGGGAACGAAUUGCUGCCUUCAUCUAUUUAUUUUUAUCUGUCUGUUUUUAACAUUUGAACCAUUUUAAGUGUGUAGUUAAGUGGCAUUAAUUACAUUUGCACUGCUGUGCAGCCGCUGCCAUCCCUGUCUGUUUUCAUUUUCUCAAACUGAAAUUCUGUACCCAUUGAAUAGUAACUCCCCGCUCCCCCGUUCCCUGAUGGCCACCGCUCU
rnacentral:lncRNA from 1 species